rnacentral:lncRNA from 1 species
GAGACAGCCAUAUCCAGAAGGAAGAGGAGCCGCGUUCCGUGGCUCACACCUGUAACCCCACCAGUUUGGGAGGCCGAGGCGGGCGGAUCACCUGAGGCUGAGGCCGGGGGUUUGAGACCAGCCUGACCAAUAUGGAGAAACCCCGUCUCUACUAAAAAUACAAAAUUAGCCGGGAGUGGUGGCGCAUGCCUGUAAUUCCAGCUACUCGGGAGGCUGAGGCAGGAGAGUCGCUUGAACCCGGGAGGCGGAGGUUGCGGUGAGCCGAGAUCGCGCCAUUGCACUCUAGCCUGGGCAACAAGAGGGAAAACUCCGUCUAAAAAGAAUAAGAGGGUUACAAGUAGCCUGAAUUUUCCUCUCUUCAAAUAGGGACUUCUCAAAGAAGGUGAAUCUAUAAUAGUGGUGUAGAUUCAGAUAUAAGGACACGUAUUUGGCGUAAAGGAGAGGCAAAGUUAGAGGAACCAGAAAGAAUGCUACACAAAAGAUGGCCGGCUUCUCGCGUGAAGGAAGAUUCGGAUACGGGGGCCUGAUGGAUUUAGUUGUAGGCGGUUUGCCUGCAGCGAGUAAAUUAUUCAAACGUUCGGACUUCACAAGACUAAACUUACUGGGGAUAAAAAUUGAGAUUUGGCCGGGCGCGAUGGCUCACGCCUGUAAUCCCUACACUUUGGGAGGCCGAGGCGGGUGGAUGAUCUGAGAUCAGGAGUUCGAGACCAGCCUGGCCGAAAUGGCGAAACCCCGUCUCUAUUAAAAAUACAAAAAUUAGCCGGGAGUGGUAGCGUCCGCCUGUAAUCCCAGCUACUCAGGAGGCUGAAGCAGGAGAAUCGGUGGAACCUGAGAGGCAGAGGCUGUAGUGAGCCGAGAUCGCGCCACUGCACUCCAGCCUGGGCGACAGAGCAAGACUCCGUCUAAAAAAAAAAAGAAAAAAAAAAAUUGAGAUUUGGUCCCAUGCAGUAAGAGGGAAUGGAGAACAGGAGCCACCCAACUUUGGACAUUAAAGUUGGAGCAGGCAAAGAUGAGGCCAGCUGUGUCGCGAAGCCUGGGACAUGGGCAGCUCUUGAGUACACCGGGUUCGAGGCCAGGGGAAACCCUCAAGGUAGAGAUGGGGUUAUAAAGCAAACCAAUAAAAACCGGUGUAUGAGUCAA